rnacentral:sRNA from 1 species
CAUUCAUAAAAUCGUGGGGACAAACGAGGCAUUUGUCUGAGAGGA